UCCACGAUCAUCAGCCCGACUCUCUCUUCCCUCUUGCAGGUCAGCCCAAACCUUUGCCAUCACGAGGAUUUGAGGCACACUUCCGCCUUAAAAGUUGUACACCACUACCUUUGAUAAUCAAGAUAGAACCUAAUUGAGCUCACCCAUGCAGAAGAUGCUCUCGCCUUUUCGCGCGCACACGGUUUUUGCGGAGACGGGGGCCUAUACUGUUUCAGCUCAUCCAACUGUGAGAUUCUCCUUUCCCCUUUCCAGUCCUGCCAUCAUCUCACUAAUGGUGUUUCUAUCUCUUCUCCAUAGGAGGUAAAUGAAGCUUUUAAGCAGGGCGGAGGGAAGGGGGACCGCUGAAAAGAUUAAUUGACUUGCUGUGGAGCUUCACUUAUCCUCCACUGGCACCUUUGACUUCCAUGUCGUUCACAUACAUGACUAGCUUGCGGAGCACCUCACCUGCUGUCCUGGUAUACUGUAAAUGUGCAGUCAUGGACAUACGCACGGAUGUAUACAGGUGCAGCUCACAUACACAGAGGUAUUAUGGCUCCAAAGGGACAACUUCUGGUAAGCAGUGGGUAGAGUGAGAGAGAGCGAGAAAAAGAAAAAGUGAAGAAGAGGAGGCAUAGGCUAUGAUUGGUUGCCAUCUAGUGGCUUCUACACUAUUCUAACUAGAGGAAGGUUAUGAGUACUAAAUUUCACAAUGCAUAACACAGAUCUCCUCCAAAUCAUUAAAGGCAUGUCAGGGAAGAUAAAUCUGUGUUUUGGAUAAGGCCUUUUUUACAGGUUUGAUUCUUUUUACAAAAAAAAAAACAAAAACAUGUUCUUAUUGGAAACAGGUUCUUUUGGAUGCAGCCCUGCAGAUUGAAUAUAAAAUUAUACUGACAUGAUGGCUGCAGGACAGGACUGAGAACAGUGAAUGCUUCAUGGUAUCUUUCAUAUAUUCUCCUAUAACGUGAUGUAAAACUGGUGAAAACCCUCACUCGUAUUUAGCAUGAAAAAAACAGCCUUUUAAAGAUUGAUCAUAGAGAAAUGUGUUUUAGUCCGUGCCCUCCUCUCUAUAAUUAUAGUUACACUAUAAUAUACACCCUUUAACUCGUUUUCUUGACUCAUGUCACACCUCAUAAUUAUCUUCUACGUUGCUCAGACAGGCUUGAUUAGAGCACAGUUUUUGCUCCAGGAGAGUGAAGUAGAAGUUAUGUAGUGGUUUUGUCUUUACAUUGUCAGAGCCAUUGUCAGGAGAUAUAAUGUUUGUUGCACUGAAUUAAUACACAUUUUUCCACACAUGAAAUUCUGACAUGUGGGCGAUAUGAUAAAAUGAAUUAUAUCUGAAUGGUAUAGGCUUUCUUUCAUCAUCGUGUGCAAAUGUUUUUUUUGUUAUUUCAGUGCAAGCAUUAUCUUUGUAGUCUAAUUUUGCAAAAUGUAACGUCCUUCUGCUCUGUGUUCAUUUGUACCUGCGGUUAAAAGUAGUUUGUUACUGUAUUUUGGAUGCACUAGAUUCUUCCGCAAAAGGGGAAAUAUAUGAUUCUACAAGGAUACUAUGACUGUCCUGUAAUAUUCCCAUUUGUACUCCAUGUUUUAUGUUUUAUAUUGAACUUUUAAUAUUGUAGAUGACAAAGAUUUUAUUGUCUAUUUAUUUUGUGUGUAUGUGUGUAAAUAUAUAUGUAUAUAUAUAUAUGUAUAUAUAUUACCUUUGACCUGACUAAAAGCUGCUAUUAGACAUUGCUACGAUACGAUAAAUUUCAAGGUUGUGUGCUAACUCACAACUGAAUGCAAAAAAAAAUAUGUUUAUGUAAUUAGUAACUCUUGUCUUUUUAUCACAAGUCAAGUCAAGAUUCAUAUUUUUUCUGGUUUAUUUUUCAUAAAAUCCUUUGUUAAUCUCAUGUUAAGAACUUUGGUAAAUGAUUGUAAUCCAUUCUCACAUGUGACUACUUAAACAAGGAAAAAAUAACUCUGGA